ensembl:snRNA U6 U6 spliceosomal RNA
GUGAUUGCUUUGGCAACACAUCUAGGACAAUUUGAACAAUACAGAGAUUAGCACAGCCCCUGAGCAAGGUUGACACAUGAAUUUCUGAAGCAUUCCAUUAAAAA